UACGGGGGGAGCAAGCGUUGUUCGGAUUUACUGGGCGUAAAGGGCGCGUAGGCGGUCAGCACAAGUCAGUUGUGAAAUCUCCGGGCUUAACUCGGAAAGGUCAACUGAUACUGUGCGACUAGAGUGCGGAAGGGGCAACUGGAAUUCUCGGUGUAGCGGUGAAAUGCGUAGAUAUCAAGAGGAACACCUGCGGCGAAGGCGGGUUGCUGGGCUGACACUGACGCUGAGGCGCGAAAGCUAGGGGAGCGAACGGG
rnacentral:rRNA from 1 species